rnacentral:rRNA from 1 species
UACGUAGGGUGCGAGCGUUAAUCGGAAUUACUGGGCGUAAAGCGUGCGCAGGCGGUUCGUUGUGUCGGCGGUGAAAGCCCCGGGCUCAACCUGGGAAUGGCCGUUGAAACUGGCGAACUGGAGUGUGGCAGAGGGGGUGGAAUUCCGCGUGGUAGCAGUGAAAUGCGUAGAGAUGCGGAGGAACACCGAUGGCGAAGGCAGCCCCCUGGGCUGACACUGACGCUCAGGCACGAAAGCGUGGGGGAGCAAACAGG